UGCUUAAUACAUGCAAGUCGUACGACAGCAUUCCUUUUGGGGGUGUUUGGAGUGGCGAACGGGUGAGUAACACGUGAGUAACCUGCCCUCUUCUUUGGGAUAACGUGCGGAAACGUGCGCUAAUACUGAAUAUUCUUAUUCUGCUGCAUGGUGGGGUGGGGAAAGGACUGUGGGGUCUUUAGGGGCUUUGUGGUUUGGUGGGGGAUGGGCUCGCGGCCUAUCAGCUUUGUUGGUGGGGUGAUGGCCUACCAAGGCGUGGACGGGUAGCCGGCCUGAGAGGGUGUUCGGUCACACUGGGACUGAGAUACGGCCCAGACUCCUACGGGAGGCAGCAGUGGGGGAUUUUGCACAAUGGACGAAAGUCUGAUGCAGUGACGCCGCGUGGGGGAUGAGGGCCUUCGGGUUGUAAACCUCUUUCGCCAUUGACGAAGCCUGCUUUUGGGUGGGUGACGGUAGGUGGAGAAGAAGCACCGGCCAACUACGUGCCAGCAGCCGCGGUAAUACGUAGGGUGCGAGCGUUGUCCGGAUUUAUUGGGCGUAAAGAGCUCGUAGGUGGUUUGUCGCGUUGGUCGUGUAAUCCCGCAGCUUAACUGUGGGUCUGCGGCUGGUACGGGCAGGCUGGAGUGCAGUAGGGGAGACUGGAAUUCCUGGUGUAGCGGUGAAAUGCGCAGAUAUCAGGGGGAACACCGGUGGCGAAGGCGGGUCUCUGGGCUGUUACUGACACUGAGGAGCGAAAGCGUGGGGAGCGAACAGGAUUAGAUACCCUGGUAGUCCACGCUGUAAACGUUGGGCGCUAGGUGUGGGGGGCUUUAUUGUUUUCUGUGCCGUAGCUAACGCUUUAAGCGCCCCGCCUGGGGAGUACGGCCGCAAGGCUAAAACUCAAAGGAAUUGACGGGGGCCCGCACAAGCGGCGGAGCAUGCUGCUUAAUUCGAUGCAACGCGAAGAACCUUACCAGGGUUUGACAUACACUCUUUACUCCCAGAGAUGGGGGGUCAUUUGGUUGGGGGUGUACAGGUGGUGCAUGGUUGUCGUCGGCUCGUGUCGUGAGAUGUUGGGUUAAGUCCCGCAACGAGCGCAACCCUUGUCCUAUGUUGCCAGCGGGUGAUGCCGGGGACUCAUGGGAGACUGCCGGGGUGAACUCGGAGGAAGGUGGGGAUGAGGUCAAAUCAUCAUGCCCUUUAUGUCCUGGGCUGCAAGCAUGCUACAAUGGCCGGUACAAAAAGUUGCGAUGCCGUGAGGUGGAGCGGAUCUUUUGUAAAGCCGGUCUCAGUUCGGAUCGCAGUCUGCAACUCGACUGUGUGAAGGUGGAGUCGCUAGUAAUCGCAGAUCAGCAUUGCUGCGGUGAAUACGUUCCCGGGCCUUGCACACACCGCCCGUCACA
rnacentral:rRNA from 1 species